AGACUUGCCCAGUUGCUGCACUAAACGUGUAGAGGAAAAUCCACACUAGCACUUUCUGAGAUGAAAGUAGUGAUCAUGCUGAGUCUAAUAAAUUCAGGCAGUAGCAAUACUGACAACUAGUGACACAGAAACUAAGUCUGCUCAAUGAGUAAGAGUGCAAAGGUUAAACUUCAUGAGCUAGAAAUCUAAAUUAUGGUAAGAGAGUCUGAUUUAGGGAAAUGAACCGACGUCAGGAGGGUAGUAAUACCUUAGAUAAAUAACUGGGGCUCAUUAUUGAGUACAAAAAGUGGUUUAUAGAG
rnacentral:RNase_P_RNA from 1 species